GACCACGACCCCGGCCACCUCCGCGGACCGGCCGACCACCAGGCUUUCUGCUGAGACCAGACAGAAGCUGUGCCAGUGCUUGAACUCUCCCAACCCUCGCGGGAAUGACUGGAGGAUGCUGGCCCAAAUGAUGCAGGUUAACAGAUACGUCAACUACUUCGCGACGAAGAAGUCCCCGACGGACCCGAUCCUGGACCUGUGGGAGGCGAGGCACCCAGAGCAGUCUUCCUGCACCGAACUGCUCAACAUCCUCAGGAUCAUGGGGCGCGAAGAUGCCGCCCAGAUUGUUGAGGACCAGGUCGGGCCGCGCGUGUGACCUUGAUCAGCGACAGCUGAUUGGCCAGCCCGGUCGGCUGACCUUGAACUAAGCUCGUCGAUUGGUCCGAGGGUGUCGCGCCUCGAGUGCUGAGCGCUGAUUGGUCUGUAGUGUCGUAUCGCCGUAGCAGCAGGCGGGGAUUGGUGCACGUUUAGCGGUCUGAAGUGUGAUUGGCCUAUUUGAUCAGCCGGAUUUAAUUUAUCGCUGUGGGCUUAGCUAGUUGGAUCCCGUUGUAAUUAAACGUGCAUCAUUGCCUUAUUUGAUCACCUCAAUUGACGUUCAAAAGCAUUGCCGAAAGUGCGCUUGCAUCGCACGUUUACUGUGUUUAUUGAGUGCUCCACUCUUCACAGUUUGUGCUCACACCAUUGUUCUGGUUCACAUGACAAUUUUCAACCGAUCCGUGCCAAAUAAUUAUGGGAUCUUCCGGAGACGAAUCAAAAUAGGCAGGGCUCGACCGCUCGAGGAAAUGUGAUAUUUUGUCAUUGCCACCCCGUAUUUAUGAAGUUCCACGCGCCACUAUAAGGCAUAUUGUUCUGGGUGACAUGCUUAUAGGUGUCAAUGGAAGUGACUGCUGCGAUUUUGCUUGCGAACUGGCAUGUGCAGUACAUCUGCCCAAAUCACGACUGCAGACAAAGGUAUAUAUAUCUAAGUCUUCCGACGCUGAUGCCAAAUUUCUCAAAAGUUGGUCAGUAAUCAAUUGUAUAAGUCACGCGACUGUCACCAAAGCUGUACAUACGUGCUCCGAAGAACAGAAUGCUACAAAUUUAGUCCUCCACGUGUAUGACAUCGUGUGACUGCCUGUACCGUUGGUGACGAUGAGACCCAGGACAGCUGAGAUUUCAGUGUGACCUCCACUGCAGGCGCUCAGCGUGUGGGCCUGUGUCCACUACUUGUGGUCAUGGCAGGGUUAUGUGGCCCGACUCAUGUCGUCUUGUGUUCGCUUCCUGAGGAACCGUGUCGCUGUGCUUGCUUGGGUGUACUGCUUUUGUUCGUUAGUGAGUGCAACCAUUUUUGCAAAGGCUUUAUACGUGGGGUAGUUCAUUAAGUAUUCUGAGCUCAAUAACACGGUAUCUGCAUGCUUCUUGGCAUCACGAAAAAUACGUUGUGUCACCCAGAAAUACCCCGCAAAAUCCUGACGACACCGGCACUAACUGUUUCCAGCAAAAGUCUUCACGUAGUCGCCCGUGGACUACGUGAAACAUUAUUGCAAUUUUCAACGCCUUCACCUAUCGCUGACGAAUUAGUUACGUUGGCUAUAACUCCUGAAUACGCUGCUAGACGUGACCUUCAAAAAGUGGCGUUCAUGUGUCCCGGAACUGAGCUAGGGGCGCGAAGGCACCGGGCGUGUUACUUGUUGCAGUAGAAAGCUAGCGGCGGUGUCCAGCUUUGGGGUUUUUAUAUUUUUUUCAGAGAUUUUAGCCUGAUUUGCAGUCACAAAUGAGUGUGGAGCUACGCCUUCCAAAACCCUCUUCCUUGUGCCGUUUCGGCUCCGCCCCAUCCUCCGUCCAUAGCGUAAUUUAUGGACGGCACACUGAGAUGGACUAUGGCCUCCCCGUAGGAACGCAGAUUCAACUGUUAGGAGCGUCAGUUUCCUCGCUGCAUUGUUUGACGUUAGUGUUAUGCCUCAGAAGAUCUGCCGCACAGCGGGUCUUAUAAAACUGGCAAGUGCGAUAUAGAUCAGCGCACAUCGACGCUCCGUUGUAAGCCACGUACUUCCUGUUGGUUGGGCGGCCAUUUUGAAACGCUGUCCUGGUCAAGCACAGGACGCUGCUGAUUGGAUAGAAAUAUACCGCAUCUGCGUGCGGCUAGUCACUUGCGUUUAGUGCGUAAAACUGUUUUAUACUCUGAACGAUCGCUUGUGAAAAUAGGUGUUGUAUGUAUGUACUUAUGUCAUGUUAUAAUGCAACCAAUACAAACAGUGCUUUGUUUAAAGACA